CAAUACCGUUGCUGUUACUAACAGCCUCCGUCAUGCUGCUGCUGCCAUUAUUACCAUGGUCACUAUGGAUGUGGCUGCUUUCACCCCAAACUGACACCCAUAGGCAGGAAGAAAGGGAGGGAUGGAGUCAUUUCUUGCCUCUUCUUGCUUUAAUCCUUUGGGGAACCAAGGAGCAAGGUGACCUGGACAAAGCAGUUCGAGAUGGUAAGAGACAAAGCUACAACCAAUUUGUAGAUUUAAUUGGUGGCUUUUAUUAGCAACUCAUAAAUUGGGAAGCUGCCUCUGUUAUAUAAAUAGAAUAAAAGUUCCCACGGGACACUUGUGGAACAGUUGGUUUUAUAAGCUGGGAGCAAAGAAACAGAACAACAUGGGGAAAACCCCAAUAUGUUAACACCAAGUUACUUUUUGGUAAGGGUUGAAGCCGAGGGGACUUUCUAAUUAUGCUGACACAGAUAGGCUGGAAUCUCUUGUUUCCAAGAAAAACUGCUCUGUUUGGGGAUCUGUUUCUUUAAAAUUUCAUUUUAAUUAUGUGGUGUUUAUCUCGAGUGACUCCAUUUUGGUUUGGUUGGGGCCGCGUACAGGAGUUUAGUUGAAAACAAGGGCCUCCUGUCAUUUUUGUUUAAUGGUACGAUCCCAACCCUUUGCAAGAGAGCAGAGCACAUAAGAGGAGAAACUAAGAACAUAUAAACAAAUGGCCUAAAUGAUAGAGAUUGGUAAAAUUGUUCCAAGUUUUGAAGGUGAUUUUUAUAAAAAACAAACCAAUUAGAUUUACACCAAGAUUCUAGAAUGGUGGCUAAGUGAUCAAUUAUGAGCAUUUACACAGGGAGAAGAUAGCCAUGAGAAGCUUGCUGGAGGUUAUUAACCUACUCUGUUCAAUACCUCUGAAACCAGAUCAUCACAAGGGCCACAUCUUAGCGACUCAAAAAAUAACAAUGGUGGGAUAUCUUGAGUUAUGUAUGUUUGAGAAACUUGCCCCAAAUCAGAGAGAGAAGGUAAUAUUUUAGGUCACCUAUUCUUUCAACAUCCAUGCAUUUGCUACACCUCAUGGGUGGAGAAGAUUAUAGUUCAGGAAGUGUUAGGUGCAGGGCAGGCUGAACUAACGUUGUCUGCAGGGUGGUCUGAACACUUGACUCUCACCCUCACCCGUCUGGUUCCUUAUCGCUUGUUUGCCUCAAGUCUGAACACUUAACCCCUCUCAAGGCUGAACACUUGACCCCACUCAAGGCUAAACCUGUAUGGUGAAACAGAAACUCAUAUCUGACCCCCGGCCCGUCUUCCUGAAGGCAGAAGAUGACCCUCUUAGCAACUACUUUAUGAUCCAAUCACUGUACGCCAACAAGGCAGCUUGCAGGCCCAGACAGCCCAUUAGAUUUUGGUUAUAAAAACUCUCUCCUGCCAGGCCCCCGUCUCUUGCUCUCUCUCUCUCUCUCUCUUCUCCCCCCCACCCUUUUCUCUUCCUUCCCUGUUAAUCAGAUACUGCCACAAUAAAGAUCUCUUGGUCUCUCCAAGUGUUGUGGUCCCUUUCCUUUCAGGAAGAACAGCAAAGGCAGCUGGAACUCAGAAUGAUUCAAUGCCUUAUCUAAGGUCACAAAGUUGGGAAAUUGCAGAACUGGGACUGUGAUUCAGAUCUCUUAGUUAGUAGUUAGUGUUUUAGUAUGCACUGCUGCCCCCAAAUGAUGGAAAGACUUGCACAGCCGUCUUUCAUGUUUAUAAGGAUGAUUAUUUCUUGAUGGGAUGGAAGAUUGGCAGGGAGUCAUCUAAAUGUUUUUUCUGUGAAUUUUGCCAUGUAUUUGGGGAGCACAGAAGAGGUGGGAAAAGGGGAUAAGAAGGUUAAGGGGUUAAGAAGUAUUGAUGAUACCAGGACUGUGCCUGGGCAUGCUGGGGCCUUCUGGAUUACUUCAUUUCCAUAUCAUCUUUCUAGUUUAAGCUAAAACUGUUUUGAAAAACUCUCACUUUUAAUAAAGUAUAGUAUCCUAAAGUUUACCUGAAUAAACUAUUUUAGGUCUUCUGGAAACAAAGUAACAAGUGAAGUAAACCAAAAGAAUUUGUUGCCAGAAGUCCUAAAAGAAUGACCUGAAAUUCUCUAAACAGAAAAUAAUUAAAGAAGGAAUCUUGGACCAUUAGGAAAGAAGGAAGAACAUGGAAAACCAAACUAUGGGUAAAGACUGUAGAAUUUCCUUUUUCUUUUGAAUUUUAUAAUUUAUGAUUGAUUAGUGAAGCAAAAUUAUAAUACUGUCUGAAUAUUGUAAUAUUGUUCCAAAUAUUUAUAGAGAAAAUAUUUAAUACUUUUAGAAGCACAAGAGGAUGAAGGGAGAGAUAAUUUCUUUACUUCAUUCAAACUGGUAAAAUGGCAAUUCCAGUAGAUGGUAAUAAUGUAAUAAACACUCCAAAAUAAGUUCAUUAUACAAAUAGAUACACUCAAAAACACUAUAGGUUGGGCUGGGGAUGUGGCUCAAGUGGUAGCGCACUCGCCUGGCAUGCGUGCGGCCCAGGUUCGAUCCUCAGCACCACAUACAAACAAAGAUGUUGUGUCCGCCAAAAACUAAAAAAUAAAUGUUAAAAAAUUCUCUCUCUCUCUCUCUCUUUAAAAAAAAACACUAUAGGUAAAUAAAAACUAAAUUUUAAUAAAGUGCUAGUUACAUAAAGGCAGAGAAAUGAAAACAGAUCAGAUCAAACAAAAAAAAUGGAUAAUACUCUGGCAAGAUAUUUGGACUAAUUUUUUUGAGCUUAUAUUUUAAUUACUGUGAAUGUUUUUAAUAUAUAUAUAUAACAUGUUAGUAUAAUGGCAAAUGUAUUUAAUAUGUAGAUAAACAUAUAAAGAUUAAAAAUUAAAUUGAGAUUUAAUUCACACAAAAUAUUUAAAAAGACAGACUUAUGCCCUAAUAAAUAAAAAAAUUACAGUACAUGUAAGUGAUCUAAAUAUGUCAGUUAAAAGACAGAGAUCUUACUAUGGACUAUAAAAAUGAUUCACCUAUAUGCUGUCUAUAAGAAACUCACUUCAAAUAUAAUAACAUGCAAGGUGAAAAAUAAAUAAAAGGAUGGAAAACAUGCAAGCAUUAAUCUACAAACAGAAAAAAAUAAAUAUAUUAACAUUAGAUAAAGUAGGCUUUAGUUAGAAAAACUAAAAUUUAUAGAGACAGAGAAUAUUAUAGAAUGAUGAAAGUGUCAUUGAAAGUGAUGACAUAGCAAUCCAAGCAUAUAUAUACUAAAAAACAGAGCUACAAAACAUGUGAAGCAAAAAUUGACAGAAUUAAAAGAUAAAGAGAUAAAUCCACAGUUAUAGUUGAAGACUUCAAUACCCAUCUCUCAAAAACUGGUAGAACAACCAGAAAGAAUAUGUAUGAUAUGUAACUCAGCAAACACCAUCUACCAAGUAAAUAAUACUGUUGCAGUCACAGUGAGGCAGAUUGCUUGCCAGAAGUGACUCCAUCAUGUGGGAACAUUUUGUGGAAAGUAGCACACAGGGAAAAGGUUACAUUAGGUUAAAGGAAGUUGUGAUUAGGGAAAAACAAUAUAUACUGUACACAGAAAAUAGUUAUCUGAGCUCUGCAAACAGAGAAUUACAAUAUAUGCUGCACACAGUAAAUGUUGCACACAGAAAAUAGUUAUCUGAGCUCAACAAACAGAACAUUCCAGGAAGUUAAGUGUCCUGGGAAGUUAUUAGUUACAAAAUAUUAACAUAUUAUAAUAGAGUUCCUGCCUGCUGGUACAUAGGGCUGCUUGCUGCUGAUGAUAAAAGAAUGAGGAGCAGAACUCAAGAAUGCUCUGCUCUUCGUGGUUUACUUCAUGAGUUAGUUUUUCUUCCCAUCAUUUCCACGGCAAUCCAGGAAGUAGUUUUUCUUUGUGUCAAUACCAAGACAGAACACCACAGUCAACAAUUGCAGAAUGCAUGUUCUUUUGAAUGGCCACAAGACAUAUACUAAGACAGAUUAUCUCUUGUGCCAUAAAAAAUAUAUCAACAGUUUUUAAAAAUGAAAAACAUGAAGUUAAUUGUAUGUUUACAACAGAAUAAAACUAGAAACCAAUAACACAAUAACAGGAAAAUUCCCAAAUACAUGGCAAGUAAACACACUUAUAAAUAUAAUUCAUGGACCAAAGAGGAAGUAGUAACAAGGGAAAUUUUAAAAAAUACAUCACACUUAAUAAAAAUGGAUAUGCAACAAGUCAAAAUUUGUGGAACACAGGUAAAACAGUGCUGAUGGUGAAAUUUAAAGACUGAAUACUUCAGAAAUAGGUUAAAGCUCAAAUAGAUAAUUUAUGUUUUUACUUCAAGAAUUAAAAAAAGAAAGAAAGAAAAGAAAAAGAAAAAUAGCACACUAAACCUAAAGCAGGUAUAAGGAGGAAAUGGAAAUACUAAAAAUGAGAGUAGAAAUCAAUAAAGUUAAAAACAGAAAAACAAUAGUCAAUGACAGAAAAAAAAACCUGUUUCUUUGAAAAGGUUAAUGAAAUUCCUAAACCUCUAGCAAGAUUGACAAAGAGAAAAAAAGGGAAAACAAAUAAGUAAUUUUAUGAACAAAACAGGACAUAUCAUACAGAUCCUAUAGACAUCAGAAGGAUAAUAAGAGAAAACAACAAACAUCUAUAUGCACAUAACCUCCACAACUUGGAUGAUAUGAACAAAUUCUUCAAAAAAAUACAAACUUACCAUAUCUCAUGCAAUAUUAAAUAGAUAACUUGUUCAGCCCUAUGAUUACUGAGGAAAUUGAAUUAACAAUUUACUCCCAGAAAAGAGAAUUUCAGGCGUAGACAGUUUCAUUGAAGAAUUCAACCAAAUAUUCUAAGAAGAACACACACAAAUUCUACACAAUUUUUGCAGAAAAAAACAAAUUGGGUAAUUUUUCCAUACCUUUAUGAAGCUAAUGUCACCCUGAUACCAAAACAAUAAAAAAAUACAAAACAAUACAAAAAUAAAUACAUAAAUAAAUAAAAAUAAAAAAGAAGAAACAAAGAAAGAAAACUACAGACCAAUAUCCCUGUUUAAUAUACAUGUGAAAGUAUUAACAGAAUAUUAACAGAGUUCAACAAUAUCUAAAAAGUAGUACACACUAUAGCCAAGCAGAGUUUAAUCUAAAGAUGCAAGGCUGAUUUAAUAUUCAGAAGUCAAUGAAUAAAAUUAAUCUAAAAGAGCUAACAUCGUACUUAAAUAUCAAUCAUGCCUCUAACAUUGUAUUUAAUGGUAAAAAUUUGAAUACAUUUUUUCUGAGGGGAGCAAAGAACACUCCCACUGCUUUAAUUCAAUAGUGUUGGAAGUUCUAGACCUUGCAGUAAGUCCAGAGCAGGAGGUGAAGGCAGGAGGUAAGGGAACGUAAGUUGAAACAGAAGAAAUGAAAUUAUUCCUAUAUGAAGAUGAUGUGAUUUUUUACAUAGAAAAUCCCCCCCAAAAUCUACAAAAACCCCUCAGAUAAUCUCACGAUAUAAGAUAAGCAUACAAAAAUCAAUUAUAUUUCUGUGUGUUAGUCAUCAGGACAUGAACAGAGAAAUUAGAAAUAAAUAACAUUUAUAGUUCACAAAAAUUGAAAUAAUAAGGUAUAAAUCUAACAAAAUGUGUAGAACACUUGCAUGCUGAAAACACUAAUGAAAGAAAUCAAGAAAAUCUAAACAAAUGGAAAGAUGUACCAUGUUCCUAGAUCAGGAGACUGAACAUAAUAAAGAUAUCAGUUUCCUCCCAAUGUAUAUAUAGGUUUAAUUUAAUUUCUAUCAAAAUCUCAGCAAGAAUUUUGAUAGAUCUAGACAAUAUAAUUCUAAAAUUUAUGUGAAAAGCCAAAAUAAUCAGAAUAGCUAACAUAUUUUGAAAAGACAAAGUGGAAAAAAUCAGUUUACUUGAUUUCAAGAAUAAUUAUAUAGCUACAUUAAUCAAGACUGUGUGGUAUCAAUGGAGCAGUAGACACAUAGAUCAGUGGAAAAGAACAGAGAACCCAGAAAUAGAUCCACACAAUUAUGCCCAACUGAUUUUUGACAAAGCACAGAAAAAAUUCAAGGGGGAAAGGGCCAUUAUAACAAAUGAAGCUGAACAGUUGGUUCUCCAUUGUCAAGAACAUGAACCUCCACCUAAAUCUCACAUCUUAAUAAAAAAUUAUUCAAAAUGGAUGAUUAUCUUAAAUAUAAAGCAUAAAAAUGUAAAACUUUUUGGAAAAGAGCAAAGAAAAUCUUUGGGAUCUAGAAUUAAUCAAAAAGUUCUUAGAGUUGACAUAAAAAACAAUGAAAGUCAGGCACAGUGGUACCUACCUGUCAUUCCACUAUUUGGGACACAGCGGUAGGAGGAUCAUAAGUUCAAGGCCAGCAAGAGCAACUUAAGGAACUCUUUGUCUUGAAAUUAAAAAUAGAAAGGGUUGGGAAUGUUGUUUAGUUGGAGAGCCUUGCCUGGCAUGUAUAAGGCUCUGGGGUUCAAUCCUUACUGCCACAUACACACAUGUACAUAUCCCAAACUAAACAAACAAAACCAAGAAAAAAACCUAUAACUGAUAAAAUAGGAAAAUGAUUGAAAGGAAAGUGACCACAACACUCGGAGUGACCAAGAGAUCUUUAUUGCAGCAGUGCAACAGAAGAGAAAAGAAAGAAAGAGAAGUGGGGAGGGCCCAGCUGGGGAAGGCUUUUAUAGCCCUUCUGCUGUGCUGCCUAAAUCUAACAGGGUCUCUGGGUUUGCAAGCUGCUUUGUUGGCACACAAGGGGGUUAAGUGCUUGGCCUUGAGCAGCAGGCUGCGAGUUCAGCUUUGAGCAGGGGGACGAAGUGCUCAGCCUUGAGUAAGGGCUUGGGCGUUUGGGCUUUAAGCAAACAGGUGAUAAAGAACCAGACAGAGGGUUACAGAAGCCAGGUCAUCCUGCAGCUAACUUUGGCAUGCCCUGCAGACAGCUUACUCAGCCUGUCCUUCAUGUAACAAUGAUAAAAAUGAACUUGAUCACAAUUAAAAAGUUCCCAUGGAAAAGAUUCUUUUAAGAGGAUGAAAAGACAAACUAUUGGAGAAAUACAUACAGACCAUUAUAUAAAUACACGUAACGCUAUUAAUUAUAUAUAUUGCUAUUAAUAUUUAGACUCCAUAAGUAAAUCUCAAAACUAAACAUUAGAAAAGUAAACUUUCCAAUUAGAAAACAGGCAAAAGACAGAAAGAGAUGCUUCAAUGAAGAGGAUCUGUACAUGGCAAUGAGCAGUGAAUUGCUGCUCAACCUCAUUAGUCAUCAGGGAAAUGCAAAUGAGAACCACAGUGAGAUACGACUGUACACCUAUCAGAACAGCCGAAAUGGAAAAGUCAUGAUGACAACAACCGCUGAGCAGAUUAAGAGAAACCGAUCAUUCAUAUGUGGUGCUGGGAAUGGAAAGCAGUAACUACAAUUCAGAACAUCAUCUUUUGGCAAUUUCUUUAAAAACUAAAUAUGCAACUACUGUAUGACUCAGAAAUUACAUUCCUAGACAUUUAUUUCACAGUAAUGAAAACAUGUUCACAUAAAAACGUGUGCAUGAAUGUCUGUAGCAAUUUUAUCCCUAAUAGCCCAACACUAGAAACAAACCUCAUUUCCUUCAUCCUUACCAUGAAAUACUCCUCAGCUCUAAAAAGGAAAAAAGUAUUGACACAUGCAACAGCCUGGAGGAGUCUCCAGAGAACUAUGCAGAGUCAUAAGAACAGAUCUCAAAGAAUUAAAUACAGUGUAAUUUAAUGACACUGAUUUAAAUGACAUUUUUAACACAACAAGGUUAUAAAACAGAGUGCAGAUCAGUGGUUGCUAGGGGUUAAGGAGGGAGUGUGGGUGGCAGGGAAAUGGUUAUCAAUGGGCAACCUGAGAGAUCCUUGUGGUGAUGUUUUUUAUUUUGACACUAUCAAUGUCUAUUUGCAAUAUAGUAUAUAUGGUAUACUUUUUCAAGUUGUUACCAUUGAGAGAAGUCAGGUACAGGGUCUGAGGCUCUUUCUGCUUUAUUUUCUUACCACUGCAUAUAAAUUACAAUUAUCUCAAAAAUUUAAAAAAUAUUAAUUUAAAAAUGCUCUGUAGUAUACAAAUAAUUCACCAUAAAGGGCGCUACUUAUAUAUCAUGAAGGUGCCUGUCUUAUUCUAGACCAUGCUCCUGAGCUCCACCAUUGACCAUUGUUGCAGCCUGGGGGUGACUGUCACACUGAGAAGGCAUGAACUCUGAGCAACACUAUGGAGUCAGAUCACCAGGACUUGAGGAGGAGCUGGGGUUGGGGACUGGAGAAUAGUAGUACCAAUGUGUACCCACCUUCCUCCUUUCUUCCUCUAAUAUCUUGAAAAACUAAAUUUAUUCUGAAAUAUUGCAUCUAACUUAUUUGAAUAUAAUGAUAAGAAUUUCUCUAGGGCUGGGGAUGUGGCUCAAGUGGUAGCGCGCUCGCCGGGCGUGUGUGAGGCACUGGGUUCGAUUCUCAGCACCACAUAAAAAAUAAAAUAAAGAUAUUGUGUCCACCUAAAACUAAAAAAUAAAUAUUUUUUUUAAAAAAGAAUUUCUCUAAACCCAUUAACCAAAUAUUAGUUAGGGUGUAUGUUAUAAAGGCUUAAAGACACUUCAAUGUUUCUCACAUACGUGCUUCCUUAAAAAUCAAUAUUCAUUUCACACAAUUUCCCCAGAAAUGCCUCAUAUUUCUUUUCCCAAUCGUGUCCAAGCCAAGGACAGACUUAAUUACCAUCUUGUACCUCUGAGAUUCCAAUCACGGCAUUGUGGUACACAUCACUUACUCUUUUUUGCCUGUUUCCUCUUCCUAUAGAUGAACUAAGACGGACUCUUUAAGAAAUCCCUGCUGUCAUCAACAAUCUUCUGUUUUCCAUUCUGAUUAUAUCUUUCUUUCACAUUUUACUCAAGCUACAAUCUUGCUUCGUCUUCUCUUUCCCUGUUUAUUUUAACCAUGGGAUUUGACAGAUACCCUCUUUCUGUCCCCACAGGGGAGGCAAACUAUUUCUUAUCAUUUUUAUUUCUUGCCUUGGAAAUAAAAUAAUAGAUAGAUUUCCACUUUGCUGUGCACUUUCUUCUUUAAAAAAAAAAAAAAUCUCCACAGAGCUAGAUGGUUGGUGUCAAGUGCUUUGUAGAAUCUCAGUCAUUUCUUUUUCAUUGAUGUGAUGAUGUGAAGGAUGCCUGAGUGAUUAUAUGGAAUCUUCAUUCCUAUCUUUAAAUGCUUAGAGAGAGGCUUCUUAUAAAAAGGAGUGAAAUUUAGAAAUAUUUGGGAUUAAGAUGAGGUCUCUCUGGAGUCCUGUGGCUGGUAUCAUAGAUGCUGCUGUAUGCUGAGACUGUUGGGUUCAAUGACGUUCAUAGAUGCCCACCCAGUGCCCACUGUGAGCACCUGUGUGGGUGGGGAGGUGCUGGUGCAAUUUAAGUGGUCUUGUUCUUUGCUUUCCUAAUGAGACGGACUCAGCCAUCAAAGUCUUGGAUUACCAUGUGGCUCGAGCUGUGAGAGCUCUGAGGUAUUCAUGAGAUCUGAAUUUGGUUCCCCAGAGCCAACUGUGAUUGAGAGUAAAACCCCCACUUAAAUCAGUGUGUGUAAAGAGCUUAUUUUAAAAUCCAGAGAACUUCUGGAAUCCUAGACUUCCUGUAAGAGAAACUGGGAACCAGAAAUGUUAAAUGUCAGUUGCUUUCUCCAAGUCUUCCCCCUCUCCCUUUUCUCUGUCUCCCUUUCUCUUUCUAACCACUUGGUCCCUCCUGUCCAUUCUCCCACGUGCAUGCUCCUCUCCCCUCCCCCAUCCCACCUUGUCAUUCACUCUAGGCUUAUUGUUCUAAAUGUCUACCAGCCCCAACUUUUUACCAUCAUCUUUCUACACAGCCUGCUCCAUGUCUUGGGAGUUUAAUUCCUAAAUCUCUGAGGAAAAAAAAAAAUUAGUCCUGAUACUCUCCAUAAGAGCUAACUCUAGAUUUCUGGAAAAUGGGACUCUUUUCUGGAUCUCAUCAGUGGCCCUCUGAGAUCUAGGGUUUCUCCCUCACCUGUGGCAGGUGCUAUGGGUAAGAUAAGAUUACCUGAACGUAAUGGAGUACUUUUUUCAAAAUAUUUGCUUGUUCAAUUAUUAUAUCCUGCAAUAUGUUCAAAUAAAGCUUAAACUUUAUCAUGGAGAGAGAGGAUACUUCCUCACAAUUCAGCCUGAUCCUUCAUCCUCCUGUAGCAGAGUCUUAUGGGAGCUGCUAUGUAACUGUGAGGAUCAUGGUAUUGGGCAGAGUUAGGGUGAAGGAAAGAGCAAUGGGUUGAAGGUUAUAAAUCCAAUGAUUAUAAGGCCCAACAUGAUCCCAACUCACUUUGUGACCUUGGGAAAAUGAUAUCAUUUUCUGGGCUGAAUCAUCCGUUCCACAUGAUAAUGGUGUAAAGUUUGUUGCUCAGUGAAAGGAAAAAAUCCUGUAAGAAUAUAUGGAGUCCAAGACUCUUGAGGUUAACUCCACAUGAGUCCAAAUAAUGCAGGAUGAAACCACAGCUGUAGCUGACUUUAAGACUUCUUCUGGCUCUGAUAUUCUGGGAUUCAAGUCAGGAGAAUUUGAGGUCCUUAGAAAACAUUCACUUAUUCAAGAAGAAAGCUGACAAGAUCCAAGAUAUGGCACUAGAAACUUUCAAGAGAAAUUUAUUAAGACAGGUUCCAGGGUUUCAGAAUCUAAGCUGAGAGUGAAGAUGGAAGGAAAAGUCAAUACUAAUAGGAGUGGGAGGCAGUGGGGUGACCCAGUGAGAAGCAGGUUUAUGUAAUAUGGAUCCUAUCAUGAUCGCCAACAGAAGGAAGGCCGAGGAGGUGACCUCCACUCCCAGGCAAGGUGAAAUAAUUCUUCUGGCCUUAGCCACAUUAUAUAAUAAAGUAGUAAAAACAAAAUAACACUAAUGAAUAUAAUUAAUAAUACAUGAUAAUGUAUGUUUUAUCAAAUAAUAUCAAUACAUGAAAGUACCAAGAUGGCACAUGGUACAUAGUAGGCUGUUUUUCCUCUCCCCUUGAAUUGCGAUACAGUUGAAGUACUACUUAGACAUCUUCUAAUCAACUUCUCUAAAGAUUUUACCAGCUGAGUAGACAAUAAGGCAAGGUCCUAGGGAGAUUUCUAUGAUGUGUGUACAGGACAGAUGCUCACAGAGAAAUACCUUAGAAGAGCUCAUCCCAACACUGUCCUUGUUAUGUUUUCUGAUGCUUUGUAUGUGUAAUAUCAAAUAAGAAAUUGAUUCUCAAAGACAUUCUGCCUCCAAGCACUCUUCCUGAGGUUGUUAGGAGAUCUGAACUUGACAGUUUAUAUUUAACUACACAGAUCUGAGUGUUAGGUUGAGAAUAGGGUCAGAAUUCUACCCAAAUUCUCAUCUAAUUGAAAUAACAAGCAAGACAUGGCAAAUAGGAAAUUUUCUUGAAAAAAAAUAUUAGGUCAUUAAUUCUUGGUAUUUAAAAAUGUUAUUAGUAUUUUAGUUCACAUAUUCUAGCAAACAUAUCAUUUGGAUAAUAGAAACUCUUCUAGUAAAUUCGACUAUAGAAGAUCUAAGAAAAUUAUAAAGCUUAUAAGAAAGUAUUGGUCCAAAGAUAGGUCAAACUACAAGACAAUAGGAUCUUGAGCAGCUCGUAGAGUAUAAGAAAAACAGACUGCAUUUUCCUUGAAAUUGCAGAAGUGUCAAACGAAAAGUUGUACUUCCUUUCUUUAAGUAAGUCAAACCAUGUUACUUGAAUCUUCAAUGAGUAAUAUUCAUAAAUUGUGAAUGAUGAGUUCUCUUUUCAUUCUUCAGAGCCAGCUCACAAAGUUGGUAUGAAGAACAGAAUAUAAAUAAAUCUAAAUGUUGAAAUUUUAAAAUGUGUAUAUAGGUGAGAGCAGUUGAAGGGGAGAAGGAAGAAGAAGAAUGGGAAAAUGCAGGAGGGCUAAUUUCUUCCUCUUACACAGUCAAGGGUCAAAACCCAGACUAUUAUAAAUGAGUCAAUAAGUAGAGAUGAAGGACUUAUAAUUUUAAGGUGGCAGGGAAAGACAUUUCUAUACCUUUUCUUUUCUCAGUAAUCACCCAAAGCAACAAAAAUAAGAAGAAAUACAAGCCCCAACUCUGACAACACUGGAGAGAAGAUAUGGGUAAUAAUAAGCCUAAGAAGGAAGAUGGAUGACACAGGAAUCAAUGACAAGAUUGCCUCCAAAGAGGCCCCACUGGGAAGCAAGUGGGGUCCUAAGGGAACAUUGAAAGUUUGAAAAAGAGGUGGGUUAUACCCUAAGUCUCCACUUCUAUUCUUCCUAUCUGUAGUAAGAGAAAACGGAACCAGGCAGGUCCUGGGCUCAGGAACUCCAAGCCCAGAGACAGCAAGUAGAAGGAAGAUGGAGGUUUGUAAAACUUUUGAUGUACAUCUGGCAUUUUUCAAAAAUUCAAAACCUAAAAAUUGGCAUAUUAAAGAUUAAUAGCCACAGUCACCCCCUACCAUCUCACCUCACCGCUAUAGAGCACAGGCAAUAACUGGUUUAAAUCACUCAGGCAAAAGAUUAAAGGAUUCUUUCCUAGGAAAACAGACUCAUCCCAGAAUAAAAACUCACAGAUCCUAACAUCUGGGGAACUCCCAUGAAGAGCUGGCUCCUGCUUACCAUGAAACCCACUGGAUAAUGAGUCAUGUCCAAGUAUGUCGUCAACCAAGAACUAUCCAGAAUUUCAGACCAACAUGAAAGAGCAGAAGGAGGAAUCCCAGCAUCCUAAAAGGAAAAGAAAAAUCCAGGAGAACUGAAAAAAAAUGUGGAAAUUUCCUAGAAAGUAGAAUAAAAGAUGGAUGAAUAGUAGAAGAAGGAAAAUAUGGGAGGCCCAACACCUGGAUAAUGGGAGUUCAAGGGAGAGAGAACCAGUGGGGUAAAUUUAUCAAAGAAACAAUACAAAGAAAAUUUCUUGAAAUACAGGAUGUGUAUGUAUGUGUAUGUGUAUGUGUAUGUAUGCCCAGCUCA
rnacentral:lncRNA from 1 species